rnacentral:rRNA from 1 species
CGUAGGGUGCGAGCGUUAAUCGGAAUUACUGGGCGUAAAGCGUGCGCAGGCGGUCUUGUAAGACAGUUGUGAAAGCCCCGGGCUUAACCUGGGAACUGCAAUUGUGACUGCAAGGCUAGAGUGUGUCAGAGGGGGGUGGAAUUCCACGUGUAGCAGUGAAAUGCGUAGAGAUGUGGAGGAACACCGAUGGCGAAGGCAGCCCCCUGGGAUAACACUGACGCUCAUGCACGAAAGCGUGGGGAGCAAACAGGAUUAGAUACCCUGGUAGUCCACGCCCUAAACGAUGUCAACUGGUUGUUGGAAGGGUAACCUUUUAGUAACGAAGCUAACGCGUGAAGUUGACCGCCUGGGGAGUACGGUCGCAAGAUUA